GACUUGUGUUCAAACUCAUGCUGCCCUCAAUAUAGGCUCCAAACAGGUAUGAAGGUGCCUUUGGAAAGCCCCAAGGCACAGUGGCCAGAGUCCACAUUGGCCAAGUCAUCAUGUCCAUCUGCACCAAGCUGCAGAACAAGGAGCAUGUGAUUGAGGCCCUACACAGAACCAAGUUCAAGUUCCCUGGCUGCCAGAAGAUCCACAUCUCCAAGUGGGGCUUUACUAAGUUUAAUGCGGAUGAGUUUGAAGAGCUGGUGGAGGGAAAAAGUGUAGCUCUCCAUUCUUCGGAGCAUUA